rnacentral:rRNA from 1 species
AUUGAACGCUGGCGGCAGGCCUAACACAUGCAAGUCGAGCGGAGCGGCGGACGGGUGAGUAAUGCCUAGGAAUCUGCCUGGUAGUGGGGGAUAACGUCCGGAAACGGGCGCUAAUACCGCAUACUAUCAGAUGAGCCUAGGUUGGAUUAGCUAGUUGGGGGGGUAAAGGCCUACCAAGGCGACGAACCGUAACUGGUCUGAGAGGAGGAUCAGUCACAUGGGAACUGAGACACGGUCCAUACUCCUACGGGAGGCAGCAGUGGGGAAUAUUGGACAAUGGGCGAAAGCCUGGUCCAGCCAGGCCGCGUGUGAGAAGAAGUUCUUCGGAUUGUAAAGCACUUUAAGUUGGGAGGCGUUACCAACAGAAUAAGCACCGGCUAACUUCGUGCCAGCAGCCGCGGUAAUUC